UACAGGGGGUGCAAACGUUGCUCGGAAUCAUUGGGCGUAAAGCGCACGUAGGCGGUUCGUUAUGUCGGAUGUGAAAGCCCGGAGCUCAACUCCGGAAUUGCCAUUGAAACUGUUUAGCUCGAGUACGAGAGAGGUGAGUGGAAUUCCCAGUGUAGAGGUGAAAUUCGUAGAUAUUGGGAAGAACACCGGUGGCGAAGGCGGCUCACUGGCUCGUAACUGACGCUCAUGCACGACAGCGUGGGGAUCAAACAGG
rnacentral:rRNA from 1 species